GCGAACGCCGGCCCGGCUGCGGCGGAUAGACGUAGGGGGCGGACGUUGUGCGGAAGCAUUGGGGGGAAAGCGCGGGUAGGCGGUCCGGUAAGUCCGCUGUGAAAGUCGGGGGCUCAACCCGCGGAUGCCGGUGGAUACUGUCGGGCUUGAGUACGGAAGAGGCGAGUGGAAUUCCUGGUGUAGCGGUGAAAUGCGCAGAUAUCAGGAGGAACACCAAUUGCGAAGGCAGCUCGCUGGGACGUUACUGACGCUGAGACGCGAAAGCGUGGGGAGCAAACAGGAUUAGAUACUCUAGUAGUC
rnacentral:rRNA from 1 species